GGGGCUGUAGCUCAACAGUAGAGCGCUUGCCUAGCAUGCAUGAGGCACUGAGUUCAAUCCUCAGCACCA
rnacentral:tRNA from 1 species